rnacentral:rRNA from 1 species
GUGAGGAAUAUUGGUCAAUGGGCGGGAGCCUGAACCAGCCAAGUCGCGUGAAGGAAGAAGGAUCUAUGGUUCGUAAACUUCUUUUGCAGGGGAAUAAAGUGCGGGACGUGUCCUGUUUUGUAUGUACCCUGAGAAUAAGGAUCGGCUAACUCCGUGCCAGCAGCCGCGGUAAUACGGAGGAUCCGAGCGUUAUCCGGAUUUAUUGGGUUUAAAGGGUGCGUAGGUGGUUUGAUAAGUCAGCGGUGAAAGUUUGCAGCUUAACUGUAAAAAUGCCGUUGAAACUGUCGGACUUGAGUGUAAAUGAGGUAGGCGGAAUGCGUGGUGUAGCGGUGAAAUGCAUAGAUAUCACGCAGAACUCCGAUUGCGAAGGCAGCUUACUAAGCUACAACUGACACUGAAGCACGAAAGCGUGAGGAUCAAACAGGAUUAGAAACCCGGGUAGUCC